rnacentral:lncRNA from 1 species
UCAUUCAGACACAAAUCUAAUUAAAUUACAGCUAUUGUGUGUCCAAGCUAUGCUUACGCGGAUCUGAAAACGCUCCAUUCUAUUUUCUGUUUAAAGACCAUUGGGAUUCUCGGUUUUGUCGGAUUUAUAUACACCUUCAAAAAUGUGAAGGCUGAAUGUCAUUGGCUUAUGUAAUAUUUACUAGAACAGAAAGUAUCAAAGGACUGAAGUACUGAACAUCGGAUGA